GCAUUGGUUGUUCAGUGGUAGAAUUCUCGCCUUCCAUGCAGGAAACCUGGGUUCGAUUCCAGCUAACUCA
rnacentral:tRNA from 1 species